rnacentral:rRNA from 1 species
CCUACGGGAGGCAGCAGUGGGGAAUAUUGGACAAUGGGCGAAAGCCUGAUCCAGCCAUGCCGCGUGUGUGAAGAAGGCCUUCGGGUUGUAAAGCACUUUCAGUGGGGAAGAAAGCCUUGGGGCUAAUACCCUCGAGGAAGGACAUCACCCACAGAAGAAGCACCGGCUAACUCCGUGCCAGCAGCCGCGGUAAUACGGAGGGUGCGAGCGUUAAUCGGAAUUACUGGGCGUAAAGCGCGCGUAGGCGGUCUGAUAAGCCGGUUGUGAAAGCCCCGGGCUCAACCUGGGAACGGCAUCCGGAACUGGCAGGCUAGAGUGCAGGAGAGGAAGGUAGAAUUCCCGGUGUAGCGGUGAAAUGCGUAGAGAUCGGGAGGAAUACCAGUGGCGAAGGCGGCCUUCUGGACUGACACUGACGCUGAGGUGCGAAAGCGUGGGUAGCAAACAGGAUUAGAUACCCCAGUAGUC